rnacentral:lncRNA from 1 species
AUGGGGAGCGUACCCCGAGGGGCUGCCCCACAGAGGGUAGCACCAAACAGUACCUUGGGAAAGCCCCGAGCCCCUCUGCAUCCCCCCGCAGAGCAAGACCCUCGGUGGGCACCCACCCCGUCCCACUCCCCCCACAGCACCCAGAGCUCCAGGAGCCACGGGCAGCAAAGUAGGGUGGCUCUGGGCUUGUCACUGAGCAACAACAUUUCAUUUCCAAGUUACUACCUUUCCCUUUUCCUGGAGAGCCCCAAACUCUCCCAUUUAUCACCCCGAGCAGGGCACUGCUGCUCCGUUUGCGGCGAGGCUUCGGAUGCAGCCCUGGCACCCCCGUGCCAGGGACCCAGGGCAUCAGCACCGCUCGCCCACCCAACGCUGGCACCUCCCAGACCUCCCAGUACGAUGCCAACAGCCCGGUGCCCCAUGGCAGGACCACCCCCAAAUCCCAGAGGAACAAUGUCAGGAUGCACAUUCACCCUCAGCUCCACCGCUACAGGAAUGGGAGGGGGGCACAGGAGGUGCUGGCUGCACCCCCCCCAAGUUUCCCCUUGCAAAUGGGGCCUCUUGAGCGUACCCCGAGGGGCUGCCCCGCAGAGGUUAGCACCAAACAGUACCUUGGGAAAGCCCCGAGCCCCUCUGCAUCCCCCAUGUUUCCCCUUGCAAAUGGGGAGCGUACCCCGAGGGGCUGCCCCACAGAGGGUAGCACCAAACAGUACCUUGGGAAAGCCCCGAGCCCCUCUGCAUCCCCCCGCAGAGCAAGACCCUCGGUGGGCACCCACCCCGUCCCACUCCCCCCACAGCACCCAGAGCUCCAGGAGCCACGGGCAGCAAAGUAGGGUGGCUCUGGGCUUGUCACUGAGCAACAACAUUUCAUUUCCAAGUUACUACCUUUCCCUUUUCCUGGAGAGCCCCAAACUCUCCCAUUUAUCACCCCGAGCAGGGCACUGCUGCUCCGUUUGCGGCGAGGCUUCGGAUGCAGCCCUGGCACCCCCGUGCCAGGGACCCAGGGCAUCAGCACCGCUCGCCCACCCAACGCUGGCACCUCCCAGACCUCCCAGUACGAUGCCAACAGCCCGGUGCCCCAUGGCAGGACCACCCCCAAAUCCCAGAGGAACAAUGUCAGGAUGCACCAGCUCAAAAUGCCACUUAUCCUGA